rnacentral:rRNA from 1 species
GACGAACGCUGGCGGCGUGCUUAACACAUGCAAGUCGAGCGGUAAGGCCCUUUCGGGGGUACACGAGCGGCGAACGGGUGAGUAACACGUGGGUGACCUGCCCUCAGCUCUGGGAUAAGCCUGGGAAACCGGGUCUAAUACUGGAUAUGACUCCAUGACGCAUGUUGUGGGGUGGAAAGCCUUGUGCGGCUGAGGAUGGGCCCGCGGCCUAUCAGCUUGUUGGUGGGGUGAUGGCCUACCAAGGCGACGACGGGUAGCCGGCCUGAGAGGGCGACCGGCCACACUGGGACUGAGAUACGGCCCAGACUCCUACGGGAGGCAGCAGUGAGGAAUAUUGGUCAAUGG